CGAUGCAACGCGAAGAACCUACCUAGGCUUGACAUAUACAGGACGACGGCAGAGAUGUCGUUUCCCUUGUGGCUUGUAUACAGGUGGUGCAUGGUUGUCGUCAGCUCGUGUCGUGAGAUGUUGGGUUAAGUCCCGCAACGAGCGCAACCCCUGUCUCAUGUUGCCAGCACGUAAUGGUGGGGACUCGUGAGAGACUGCCGGGGUCAACUCGGAGGAAGGUGGGGAUGACGUCAAAUCAUCAUGCCCCUUAUGUCUAGGGCUUCACACAUGCUACAAUGGCUAGUACAGAGGGCUGCGAUACCGCGAGGUGGAGCGAAUCCCUUAAAGCUGGUCUCAGUUCGGAUUGGGGUCUGCAACUCGACCCCAUGAAGUCGGAGUCGCUAGUAAUCGCAGAUCAGCAACGCUGCGGUGAAUACGUUCCCGGGCCUU
rnacentral:rRNA from 1 species